rnacentral:rRNA from 1 species
GACGAACGCUGGCGGCGCGCCUAACACAUGCAAGUCGAACGGAGCUGCGAGAAGCUUGCUUUUCUUAGCUUAGUGGCGAACGGGUGAGUAACGCGUGAGUAACCUGCCCUGGAGUGGGGGACAACAGUUGGAAACGACUGCUAAUACCGCAUAAGCCCACGAUCCGGCAUCGGGUUGAGGGAAAAGGGUUUGUUCGCUUCAGGAUGGACUCGCGUCCAAUUAGCUAGUUGGUGAGGUAACGGCCCACCAAGGCGACGAUUGGUAGCCGGAAUGGGAGGUUGACAGGUCACAUUGGGACUGAGACACAGACCAGAAUCCUACGGGAGGGAGCAGUAGGGGAUAUUGCACAAUGAGGGAAACCCUGAUGCCGCGACGCCGCGUGGAGGAAGAAGGUUGUCGGAUUGUAAACUCCUGUCGUAAGGGACGAUAAUGACGGUACCUAACAAGAAAGCACCGGCUAACUACGUG